UUCGCAUACGUCAUCGCGCUGCGACACCGAAUUGAUGCCGUAAUACGGCGCUGAAUCUGUGUACGAAUGACCAGUAAAUUUAUAAGUAGUGUCAGUGUGUUUGUGAUAGACUUUUUUUUCUUUGGUAUCUGAUAAGUGUUUACAACAAAAGAAUAAAGCUAACUGAAAAUGAAUUAUCGCUAGUAAUAUUAAUCUUUCCGUCUUGUUUUACCUUACUGAAUACGUAUUAUAAAUUAUUUAAAUAACAGUGAGCAGGAUGGCAUCCUGAUCGAUUACGAGUAGCAGCAUGUGGAGGCUGAACGCAGUCCGCCACAAGGCGCGUGAUCGGAACACCGCCGGGGAAGAGUUCAGGUUAAAGAGGCGAGAGCAAGAAAGAGAGUUCAGGCAGGCACGGAAGGACCAGCAGUUAGUGAGUAAAAGACUUAUUGAAGAAGAUGAGGAGGAAGAUGAAGGAUCCAUGGAUACAGCAGACAGUAAGCUGUGGAACGACCAGGAAUUGGUGGAAUUAUUCCAAGGAGUCCAGCAUGGUGGAGAAAAACGGACCAGUAACCUGCGAACGCUGAGGAAAGCCUUGCGAAGCCCUGAGGCUCAGCUCGUCGUCAUCGGGCUGGAGAACAGCAUGCAGGUUUUGGUGGGGCUCCUCAGUGGCUCCAGUGCGCAGUGCCAACUAGAGGCCACUCACUGCGUGCACCAGCUGUCCAGCUCGACCUGUGCCCGUGUGGGGGCUGCCUGCCUGCCUGCCACGCCCUACCUGAUCACCUACCUGUCGGGACAGAAUGCCAAGUUCACGGAGCUGUGCUUGUAUACCUUGGGUAACCUGUGUGCGGGAAACAUGGCAGUGAGGGACAAAGUUCUGGCUCAGGGGAUUAUCCCGGCACUAGCCGUCUGUAUCCAGCGACCGAACCUAGCGGUUGUGGAAGCUGUGGGAUUCGUUGUAGCUCAGCUGCUCCAGGCUAAAGAUGCUUCAGAGAAGAUCAUUCCACUGGUCAUGAGCUCUGGGCUGACUCUUCACCUCCUGGCCGCCUUGCAGCCUCAUCCCGAGUACGGAAUGGGAGCGGCCAUUGAAUGUGCCUGGUGUCUGCAUUACCUGGCUUGCUGCGACAAGGGCUUUGAAGCGCUUAUAAGCCAAGGAGCUGUAUCGCAGUGCAGUUCCCUGCUGAUAACACUAGGUGGUGCUGUGGCCACAGGUAACACCGAGGAAGGCAUAGAGCUGCUAAUCUGGCCAUUGCUGCGCUGUGUUGGCAACCUGCUGGCAGGCGGCGCGCUUGAAUGCUGCGGCUCGCAGCUGACGGACAGCCGACUGCUGGCUGCUCUCUGCAUACUGGCACAGGCCUUUCUGCAGCCGCACCCUGGCCUGGCUAGAGAGAGUCUCUGGGCCCUGAACAACUUAACAGCGGAUUCCAGUGUUUUCAGCUCUGCUGUACUCUACCUGUCUUUGGUCCCAAGUCUGAUCCAGCUCCUGCCGUUUUCCAAGGGGAUCAAUACCAUGGUGCUGCAGGUCCUGGCUAAUGUUGCCUAUCAGGGGACAGAGUACUGCGUCCAGCUUAUCCACAGUGGGCUGCUGCCUGCUUUGUGUUCCACUCUCAAGAUGGCCGACCCAGCUGUGGUGACGCUUAGUCUGGAAGUGCUCUGCCUGCUGCUGGCCAGCAGCUCUCAGGCUGCAGUCAAGUUUGUGGAGCUGGGAGGCUCUGUGGCCCUGGAAGCCAUGCGAUAUAAUAGCCAAGACGAGCUGCGCCUCCGAGCUUCUUACCUUCUGGAGCAUCACCUACCUGCUUCUAGCCAGUCAUAGAGGUAAAAACCCCAACAUUGUGACAGUUCAGCAUCGGUGUCAUGGGAGGAUGAAGGGUGACCAUCAUGUUGCCGGAUGUGUGAUUUUCAGAAAAGGUUCCACAUCCACGGAUUUAACAGCUGACGAUCAAAAAAAAAAUCCAUUCCAAAAAGUAAAACUUGAAUUUGUCACGUGCUGAGCACUACGCUGAAUCCAUGUGAAUCUACCAAACAGCAGUCGUCAUUAUAAUCACUAUACAAGGGUCAUCAAGAGAGGAGAGUAUUAACAUGCUGUGUGUCUGUGUGCGAGAGAGAGAAUUGAUAUUUUGUAUAUGUGCUGUGAAGUUUGCACCUGUGCUGAACAUUAUUCCCUAAACAAUACAGUAUAAGGACUAUUUAUGUAACAUCUAUAUUGUACUGUACCUACCUCGAGCCCUCCUGUCUAUGACAUUUAGGAAGUUUAUUGCAGGAAGAGGUCUCCUGUUAAUCUUAACCGGAGCCAAUAAGAAGAAUAUGGAUUAGUACACAAAGUUAAUUACUCCGGAAACUGAUCACAUUGCACAUGGGCUCAAUCUAGGCUUACCGGCUAGAUCCCAUAUGCUGUCUUGUGGCUUUUUCAUAAGAAACCAGUUGAAUUUAUUGUGCUUCAAUAUUUAUAAUUAUAUAUAUAGAUAUAUACACAGGGGCGGCAUGGUGGUGCAGUGGUUAGCACUGUUGCCUCACACCUCUGGGACCCGGGUUCGAGUCUCCACCUGGGUCACAUGUGUGCGGAGUUUGCAUGUUCUCCCCAUGUCGUCGUGGGGUUUCCUCCGGGUACUCCGGUUUCCCCCCACAGUCCAAAAACAUGCUGAGGCUAAUUGGAGUCGCUAAAUUGCCCAUAGGUGUGCAUGUGUGAGUGAAUGGUGUGUGAGUGUGCCCUGCGAUGGGCUGGCCCCCCAUCCUGGGUUGUUCCCUGCCUCGUGCCCAUUGCUUCCGGGAUAGGCUCCGGACCCCCCGCGACCCAAUAGGAUAAGCGGUUUGGAAAAUGGAUGGAUGGAUGGAUGGAUAUAUACACACACACACUACUGU